CUGCUCACUUUGGCAGCACAUAUACUAAAAUUGCAACAAUUCAGAGGUUAGCAUGGCCCCUGCACAAGGAUGACGUACACAUUCAUGAAGCAUCCCAUAAUAAG
ensembl:snRNA U6 U6 spliceosomal RNA